rnacentral:rRNA from 1 species
AUUGAACGCUGGCGGCAUGCCUUACACAUGCAAGUCGAACGGCAGCACGGGUGCUUGCACCUGGUGGCGAGUGGCGAACGGGUGAGUAAUACAUCGGAACAUGUCCUGUAGUGGGGGAUAGCCCGGCGAAAGCCGGAUUAAUACCGCAUACGAUCUACGGAUGAAAGCGGGGGACCUUCGGGCCUCGCGCUAUAGGGUUGGCCGAUGGCUGAUUUGCUAGUUGGUGGGGUAAAGGCCUACCAAGGCGACGAUCCGUAGCUGAGCGGAGAGGACGACCAGCCACACUGGAAGUGAGACACGGCCCAGACGCCUACGGGAGGCAGCAGUGGGGAAUUUUGGACAAUGGGCGAAAGCCUGAUCCAGCAAUGCCGCGUGUGUGAAGAAGGCCUUCGGGUUGUAAAGCACUUUUGUCCGGAAAGAAAUCCUUGGCCCUAAUACGGUCGGGGGAUGACGGUACCGGAAGAAUAAGCACCGGCUAACUACGUG